GGACAUCGAGGCCAGGCGAAGCCAAGAGGCACCGCAGGACACCUCAGUGGGGGACGUGCGCCUGCCAAUGGGUGAUGGCCCAGCAUUAAGACUCGAAUUUUAAAAUGUGAACUAACUGACAUGAAGGAGAUGACAGGAGACGCAGAAAACACAUGAGAAUUAGAAAAACUCGGAAAUGAGCUGGCACAAUAAAGUAUCAUGAAUGAAAAAAAUUCAGAAAUGUGAGACAGCAAAACCCAGCAGAGUAUGGUUUUACCAUCGGGAGGAAAGGAGCAGAUGGAAAGACUUAGAAAGUGGCACGUGGAAGAUAAGCCAAGAUCAAACCUGGGUGACACGGGAAGAGUGAGACCCAAGAAGGACCAAAAUCAGGAAAUAUUUUCGUAGACAGGCUGAGUAUUUUUUGGUACUGGAUCCACACCCCUGGCCUUGCCCCUGCCUUUCCAAGUUCCUGAGGUUGGCUUAGAGCCCGCCAUUCUCCUGCCGCUGGCUCCCUAGUGCUGGGAUUACAUGUGUGCACCAUGGUGCCCGCUGGAUGUUUUUAAAGACUCACCCUUGGGGCAUUUAGGGAGGGAGAUCAGGUUUUUUGAGGACUGAGCUUUAGGCCAGAAGCAAAAGGAAUAAUUAUGACUCUUCAAGGGAAGAGUGAGCCGAGGGAUUUUUGUCCAGUAAACGGACUGAAGUUAGGAGCCUUGGUGCAUCUGCCAGGUUGUGUGGGAGAGCGUGUCCUCAGUACGCCUUCCUUGGGGCUCUAGAGAAGAGGCUACAGACAGCCUGUGUGAGUGCACGGGGCUGGUGUCAGGCUGGGAAGGAGGACAGGGUGCCAGGCGGCAGGUGUCCUACUAUUGCUUUUUAGAGUAGAGGGAGCAUAGGCAAACAUUGUUAAGUUUUUAGUGUUUUUUUUUUUUUUUUUUUUUCUCUUUUGGACCAGGGGUUGAACCCAAGACAAUCAUUAACCAUUGAGCCACAUGCCCAGCCCUUUUUAUAUUUUAUUUAGGGACAGGGUCUCACUACGCUGCUCAGGGCCUCACCAAGGUGCUGAGGCUGGCUUUGAACUCCUGAUUCUCCUACCCCAGCCUCCUGAGCUGCUGGGGUCACAGACAUGAGCCACUGUGAGGUUUUUAAUGAUUAUAUCAGCAGCUUUAUUAAUACUGCCAUUGGGCCAGGCCUUAUGGCACCCAUCUGUCAUCCCAGGGACUGGAAUCUCAGCAACUUAGCCAGACCCCAUCUCAAAAUAGAAAUUUUUAAAAGAGUUGGAGAUGUAGCUCAGAGGUAGAACCCUCCUGGCCACCCCUAGUACUGCAGUGAUAAUGUUGUCAUUGGGGGAGUGUUGAUGUGACCAUUAUGGACGUUCUGGCUCCAGGGUCGUCCUUUCCCAUAUCCAGGCCUCUCUGUGGAAGACCCCCUGGGACAGAGGCUGCCAGCUCUGUCCCCACCCUGAACUGGAAGGUUCCUGGGCGGUCCUGGGCUGCCCCAGGAACCACCAGGCUAACUGCCCUUUUCUAGAGGAGCACGUUCGGGUGAUAAUAGCUUUAACACAAGGAGGUGACAGUAGCCGGGACAGCAGUUCCAUCUUCCAUCUGGGGAUUGAGCUGUGGUGUGGCAAGGGGCAUGUGGCAGUCCUAACUAAUGCAGCAUCUUUUUUGGCUUGUGGGGUUUCUUUAUUUUAGGAUAAAAAGGUUUAUUGUUUUUUUGUGUGUUUAGUCAGGACUUUACGUCGGUCAGUUCACCUGGAAGGAAAGUCAACAGUAGUUCUUUAACUGGAGACUCAGGUUUUCUUCUGAUCAAGUCCUGGGACAGGGACAGCUGUGACCUGUGUGCAGGCACCGAGUUCUAGGGCUGCGUCUGCAGGAGCUCAAGUCUGACCCACAUCCUAUGGCCUUGCAGGGACAGCAAAGCAGGACACUCAACGGCAGAGAGGGCAGCAGAGGCCCAAGCCGGCCCUGGUCCUGCUCAUGCCCUGGCGCUCUGGCUGCCUCAGUUCAGCCUGGCUUCUGCAGUGGCUCUGCCCUUACCUUUGGGCUUAAGACCCAGUCCCCAGGACCUAGUUUUGACAGGGACAUGGAAACUCUCGGGAGCCCUUCCUGGGUCCCUAUGCUAGCCCCUGCUACUCGCUGUCCAUGAGAGACACGAAGGACAGGAAAAGCUGUUGCUGGGCACCCUGGGCUCUUCUGGAGAAGCAGCCAGGGAGAGUCCUAGCUCAGCCCUGAUGGACAGAGCAGCUGCCGAGAAGGCCCUGGCUCCAUCCACUCCCCUGAGGGCACGUUGCGCCCAGAGCUGGAAGCGAGGCCCUGCUGGGGCUGCUGAGCUCUUCCCCUUCCCCUUCCACGGCCAGCCUACACCAUAAUCGGAGGGACCCCGUGCUGCAGUUGGGGGAGACAAGCCAGAGUCCAGAGGGGGCCUAGGAAGGGGGACCUGGCUCUGCCAGGGUGCUCCUCCCCUGGCACCAGCUUGGCCUCAUGUCACCUGGCCAAAGCCCGGGGGUGGGACGACGGGGGCUUUGCUCCCUGGGCUCUGCCUGGGCCAGGGCCGUGGAGGAGCAUCAGCUGCCGUGCCUGCAGAAAUCCCCCCGAGUUUCAUGCCUUGGCCUGGCUCGGCAACAGGGUUUCCAGGCGUUUGGUCAGACAUGAUUCUCCGUGUGCCAUAGUUUUGGAUCCAGAAUAUCCCCCAAAGGCCAUGUGUUGAAGGCUUGUUUUUGGGGUGGCACUGUUGGGAGAUGGUGGAACCUUUAGGAGCUGGGCCCUCGUGGGAGGUCUUCAGGUCAUUGGGGUGCCCUUGGGGGGACAGUGGCCCCGCACUCUCUUCACUGUUUUGCUUCCUGCCAGGAGGAGAGAGGUUGUGCACCGUGGCCCUCCGCAUGAAGGGGCCUCGGCACAGGCCCAAAAGCAGAGGGGUCAGCUGAUCGUGGCCCCUCCAAAGCCAUGAGCCAGAAUGUGGCCUCUAGUUGGCUCUCGGAUCUGUCACUUUGGUGCCCAGCGCUGUCAAGGCAGAUGUCUCCGGGUGAGUUCAGCCUCUGGUUGGUAGGUGGCGUGAAGCAGGCUCCUGAUGGGGGUGGACCUCAUCCACCAAGGGCCUGACAAGCAGAAAGGCUGACCCUCCCCAGAGGAAGAGGCUUCUCCCACCUGCCCCCUUAGAACAGGGCACAAAUAGGACAGCAAAGGCACAACUGCCCCGCAGGGCACUUGAGCAC
rnacentral:lncRNA from 1 species